UUAACCCAUUUAACAAUUCAACCCAUCAAAUGAAAUGAGUUAUGGGUUAGACCCAACUCAUUUAACAAAAUGAGUUGGGUCUAACCCAUAACUCAUUUAACAAAAUGAGUUGGGUCUAACCCAUAACUCAUUUAAUUAUAAACUCAUUUGAUUAUGAGU